rnacentral:lncRNA from 1 species
UUUUCUCGUUUUUGUUUCGUGUGUCUGUCUAGUUUGAGAAAAUCCAAAAAGAUUUUAUUUUCUUCUUUUUCUUGUUGGGAGCUUUCCCGUGUAGAUAGUUUUCUCUUUUUCUUUGGGUCAAGGUAGAAGACCAUGGUUACAAUGUUUAGUGGCUCUUGCAUGCAUACAUGUUUAGCUUUCAAAGAGCCAUAUUACUUUGUCUUCUCCUUUGUGUUUGCCUUCAGAUUCCAGCUUUAGUCCAAUGC